rnacentral:rRNA from 1 species
GUAUUCUAAGGCGCUUGAGAGAACUCGGGAGAAGGAACUCGGCAAAUUGGUACCGUAACUUCGGGAAAAGGUACGCCCUUGUAGCUUGGCUGAUUUACUUCAGUAGGGCGAACGGGUUGCAAUAAACUGGUGGCUGCGACUGUUUAAUAAAAACACAGCACUCUGCAAACACGAAAGUGGACGUAUAGGGUGUGACGCCUGCCCGGUGCUGGAAGAUUAAAUGAUGGGGUGCAAGCUCUUGAUUGAAGUCCCAGUAAACGGCGGCCGUAACUAUAACGGUCCUAAGGUAGCGAAAUUCCUUGUCGGGUAAGUUCCGACCUGCACGAAUGGCGUAACGAUGGCCACACUGUCUCCUCCCGAGACUCAGCGAAGUUGAAGUGUUUGUGAUGAUGCAAUCUACCCGCGGCUAGACGGAAACACCCCAUGAACCUUUACUGUAGCUUUGCAUUGGACUUUGAAUCAAUCUGUGUAGGAUAGGUGGGAGGCUUUGAAGCGGGGACGCCAGUUCUCGUGGAGCCAACCUUGAAAUACCACCCUGGUUCAUUUGAGGUUCUAACCUUGGCCCGUUAUCCGGGUCGGGGACAGUGCAUGGUAGGCAGUUUGACUGGGGCGGUCUCCUCCUAAAGUGUAACGGAGGAGUUCGAAGGUACGCUAGGUACGGUCGGACAUCGUGCUAAUAGUGCAAUGGCAUAAGCGUGCUUAACUGCGAGACUGACAAGUCGAGCAGGUACGAAAGUAGGACAUAGUGAUCCGGUGGUUCUGUAUGGAAGGGCCAUCGCUCAACGGAUAAAAGGUACUCUGGGGAUAACAGGCUGAUUCCUCCCAAGAGUUCAUAUCGACGGGGGAGUUUGGCACCUCGAUGUCGGCUCAUCACAUCCUGGGGCUGUAGCCGGUCCCAAGGGUAUGGCUGUUCGCCAUUUAAAGUGGUACGUGAGCUGGGUUUAAAACGUCGUGAGACAGUUUGGUCCCUAUCUGCCGUGGGCGUUGGAAAUUUGAAGGGGGCUGCUCCUAGUACGAGAGGACCGGAGUGGACAGACCUCUGGUGUACCGGUUGUCACGCCAGUGGCAUUGCCGGGUAGCUAAGUCUGGAAGAGAUAACCGCUGAAAGCAUCUAAGCGGGAAACUUGCCUUAAGAUGAGAUUUCCCAGAGCCUUGAGCUCUUUGAAGGGUCGUUCGAGACCAGGACGUUGAUAGGUCAGGUGUGGAAGCG